rnacentral:rRNA from 1 species
CCUACGGGUGGCAGCAGUGAGGAAUAUUGGUCAAUGGCCGGAAGGCUGAACCAGCCAUGCCGCGUGAAGGUCAGUGCCCUAUGGGCGUUAAACUUCUUUUGUGCGAGAGCAAUAAUGGUCACGUGUGGCCAGACGAGAGUACCGUACUAAUAAGCAUCGGCUAACUACGUUCCAGCAGCCGCGGUAAUACGGGGGAUGCAAGCGUUAUUCAGAUUUAUUGGGUUUAAAGGGUGCGUAGGCUGAGAGGUAAGUCAGCGGUGAAAUGCACGCGCUCAACGGGGUGAAGUGCCAUUGAUACUGCCUUGCUGGAAUGCGAAUGUCGUGGGAGGCAUGUGUGGUGUAGCGGUGA